GUGUGUGUGUGUCAGAGAGAGAGAGGGUAUUGUGCAGAACACACCAACAUUGUCCCUGAAUAAAAGGACAGAAAAGCUAUAAAAGUCACCUUCCAGAUAGUUGGGACCACUCAGCAUCUGCUACGGCUCCACUGAUCCCUCCAUGACACAGAUCUCAUUUACAAAUGUACACACAAAAUAACAGUUCUCUAUAAAGCUUACCAGAAUUUGGAGACAAGUGCAAUAUCAUUGGUGACCAACACCCCCUUUCAGCUGUCCUUUGUUGAAGGUGGGUCUAGUUCUGUAUAUCCAAGAGAAGAUUAAAUUUUUAGGCAGGGAGGGAGGGAAGGAGGGG